AAACAUUCCUUUAUUUCACACAAGUGCAUUAAGUACUGUACAUCUGUUACAACACACGACGUACUGAGUUAUGAAGAUUCACAACAGACACAACCUUGUCUGUCUGCACGUGCAUCUGUAUUCUGGUCAUCUGGCAGUAAGUCUUGUUCAUCUGUUUACAGAGGCCUCUGCCUCUGGUCCACAGGUACCCGCUCGGGUAUUUACAAAUGAUUACAAUUUGUAUUAUCAUUUAAGUAUUAAUAUCAGUAUUGUUUAUUUAUACUUAUGUAUCACUACUUUAUAACUGAAUGCGUCCAGUCGUGUUGCCACCAACAUACUAAAUGCAUCCAUCUCACAGAUGAGCUGAACUGGGCUUAUUUUGGGGCUUGGGCUUGUAUUUCCAGCAUCCUGAGAAAUCAUGCUAGGGCUUAUUUUUCCAGUUAGGUCUUAUUUUUGGUUAAACACAGUACCAAGUUCUAGGCUGGCAUAAAGUACAAAGUGAGAAGCUCCCCGAAAAACAAAUGAAACUCCACACAUGUUAGAAGAAAUAGUACAAAGCAUUUUGGGUACAGAAAAAAAGCAACAAAUUCUGCACUGCUCAAAAUGUCUACACCAACAAGCACUCCCCUUAUGGAAAAAAUAUAAACUGGGGCCACUAAGGUGUUCAACAAAACCUGCUGCGCAUGAGCUCACUUGCAACUCCACAAGAUCUAAGAGAAGGUGUAGAACAAUUAAAGAUCACUCUACCUGUUGCCUUCACAGCCAUGGGUCUGGUGGUCAUGACUGGUUUUGGAGGAUUCUGAACUCUGGGCACCUCCACCACCACUUCCUGCUCAUCUAGAUUUGAAAACGAAAAAAAAGAAACUGCAGUCAGGGCUUGGACCAAGAAAACACUAUAGGUGACAGACAGGUCCGUGGUUUCACAUUGCAGAUCUAAAUUUCAUCAACUUAAAAAAAAUCAAGGCAAGGUCCCACAUGGUGGCAGCGCAUGCCUGUAAUUCCAGCACUCCGGGAGGCUGAGGCAGGAGGAUUUUAAACUCGAGCCCAGCCUAGGUAACUCAGACUCUAUCCCAAGAUUUAAAAAAGGGCCAGGAUGAAGCUCAGUGCAAAGGCCCUGGGUUCAGUCCCCAGCACAACAACAAAAAAAAGGGUAUGGAAGGAAAAAGAACCACUAACCCAGAUGUCAAUGGCUUGAUCUUAGAUUUCCCAGGGUCCAGAGUUUUUUUCCUACGCUUAUUUUGAGGCUCCCUAAAUCGCUCAGGCUGAGCUCGAAACUUGGGAUCCUCCUGCUUCAGCCGGGCCACGCUGCUUCUCAGUUAAGGUAACGUCUCAACACCGGAAAUGGUCCCAGUGCCUAACCCUGCACGUAAGUCCUACAGAGAACUCUUCGUCCAAGAUUGAGGUUUUCCUGACCUCUCCAUUUUAGGGAGAACACAAGUACUUGAAACUCGCAGGUUCCACUUCUCCAUCAGUUUUGGGGACACCUGUAAAUCUGGGGACACUUUGGCUUUGUCUGGCAUGACAAAAAGGGUUUAACUUUUGUUUUAAAUAUUGGGGAUGAAAUCCAGGGACGCUCUGGCACUAAGCCAUAUCACCAUCCCUUUUAAAUUUUUGAGACAGGGUUUCAAGUUGUUGCCCGCGGUGGUCUCCUGCCUCAGCCUCCCGCGCAGCUGGACUCAUACGAGUGCGCCAGCUUGUUCCAGUCGCUUUUCUGCUUAACAAAACCGAAAGGAAGCGGGCGAGGCACCGAAGAGACCCCGCUGGCCUCGCUGCCGCCGGGAUGCGGGGGUCGCGGGCUCCCAGCGCGCUCCGCGGCGGCCAUGGCGCCCGCCGCCGCCCCGACCCAGUCCGCGCCGCUUCCUGGCGUCCUCACCUUCCGAAGCGGAGUCGUCGGGGGCCGCGGCGGCCGUGAUCGCGGGCGCCGUCGUCGCUGCUGCCGCCGCCGCCGCCGGGGCGGGCUGGCUAGGGGCGGCCGCCGUGGCGUCCGGUUCAGGGUCGGGAUCGGGGACGGGGUCGGGGUCCCGGCCUGGCGUGCUGCUGCGGGGCCCCGGCGGAGAGAGCUGCAGGAUGGGCCUGCGGCCGGGUACCGCCCGCGACUUCUUCCCCAUCGCGAGCCGGAACGCGAGCGGCGAGCGUCGGCAGCCGAGAGGGGCGGGCGCGGCGCGACAGGAUCUUGACGUGUAGUUCAGGCCUUACGUAUCCCAGGCUGUCCUGGAACCUGCAAUCCUCCUGGCUCAGCCUCCCGCGUAGCUGGGGUUACAGGCGUUCGUCACCAGGCCUGUUGGUACCCAUCUACCUCUGUGUUGUGCUUAAGAAAUACCAGUGGUUGCUCUUCAUAGUAGCUGAGACUUCUGGGAAGAUGGCAGAGUGGUGAGCAUCAGAGAAAGAGCCUCUCUGAGAUCUGGUGUCCAGACAUUGGAAUAUAGUAAUGUGA
ensembl:lncRNA